UACAGAGGUCUCAAGCGUUGUUCGGAUUCAUUGGGCGUAAAGCGCGCGUAGGCGGCCCUGUAAGUCCGUUGUGAAAGUCAAAGGCUCAACCUUUGAAAGCCGAUGGAUACUGCAGGGCUAGAGUCCGGAAGAGGCGAGUGGAAUUCCUGGUGUAGCGGUGGAAUGCGCAGAUAUCAGGAGGAACACCAAUAGCGAAGGCAGCUCGCUGGGACGGUACUGACGCUAAGGCGCGAAAGCGUGGGGAGCGAACAGG
rnacentral:rRNA from 1 species